rnacentral:lncRNA from 1 species
UCCAGAAAGCGAGAUGAUUGAUAGGCGAACUGGGCAUUAACAAGUGCCUGAACAACGCUCCCAUAAGUCUCUGCGCCGAGCUGAAUAACCAAUCAAAAUGUUUUUCCGCCUCGGCGGAAUAGAGGACUAAAUUUUCUACUAAAUAAAGAGUUCAUUGGACCGCACUGGAGGAAGCUUUUCGAGGCGCUACUUCCGGAACUUCUCAGCUCCUCUUGGAAUAUUUCCCGGUAGUCUCUGCUUUUACUCUCUUUACCGUAGGAGAGAACGAUUAAAGUCACAUAUGGAGAAUGGGAGACUUGGUGUGCAGAAAAUCUUGAAUCGCAUUAGACUGAGCCAAACAACCCUCCCGAGAAUGCUUGGGGAAGUCUUCUCCACCAGCUAUAUUGCUGCAAGCAGGAAGAGAGCCUUAGUUACACUAGGGUUUUGGCCUUAGUAACCGCAGGCAUUCUGUGUUGACCCUACAGCACCGGAGCAAUUGGAAGCGCCACCGUAACCUCUCCGCUCCUCAGAAGUCCCUGAAGAUCUCCCUCUGUGCUCAACCUGGGCAUUCGCCACGCGGACUGAAGCACGGAAAUUUCUUUCCCAAGGGACGAAAGAGGGAAUAGGCAGAGGCUGGUUGUACAAAAAUUGCAUGCAGAUGAGAGCUCAAUACCUACCCAAAAGCACAAGGCCUGGAUCGCGCCCAUUUUCUCCAGAUGCCAGAGUUAGCCCACUGCCCCAAUUCGCCGGUUCAAGUGCGAAAAGUUUAACUAAAUUUCAGCCUAAUAAAACUUGCUUUCGGCCAGAAAAAAAAAAU